AUACUUACCUGGCAAAGGAGACACCGUGAUCAAGAAGGCGGCUCACCCAGGGCGAGGCUCAGCCAUUGCACUCCGGCUGUGCUGACCCCUGCGAAUUUCCCAAAUGUGGAAAUCUCGAUUGCAUA
rnacentral:snRNA from 8 species